rnacentral:lncRNA from 1 species
AAGAAUCAUUACAUGAGAAUACCAAAGCUUCCUUUUCUCUUUAUCCAUGGAGGGCUCUAGAACAUAUGUGUGAUUCCCUAUGAGGAUAAGGUUGGGGAUGUCAACAAAAAAAAAGAUGGGAUGAGUAACCCUGAAGACACGACCAAAAGCCAUUGUUGGGUCUUAUAAGCUUCUUAGAAAAUAAGCGGUUGAGAAACAAAAAUAGGAGUUACAAAGUUUUUUAAAAGGUUGUUUAGGGUUUUUGAAGAAGAAAAUGGUGAAAGAAAAGAGAAGAUGUUAAAGAAGCCUAUAAAUAGCCACAAAGAUGAAGAAAAUUUUGAGUUUCCCUCCAAAAGAAUUGGGACAAGUGGUAAGUAUGAGUCAACAUAUGGCAUUGUAAUUUAUUGGGGAAAAUAAAAUAAAAUGAACUAUUUUAAAAUUCAUUUAAGUUAGUGGCUUAUUAUUGUCCUAGGAACUCAAAUGAUGAACGAUCUGCACACACGUUUGUGACGUGACGAUUUGAUAGAAAGUGGACACGAUGACCAUGACGUGUACAUGCUACGGUAAAUAAUGUCAGACAUUUACUAAAAACUUUACUUUUCUCACAUAUGAUACAUAUGAUUGAAAGUGACAUUUUUAGAGGACAUCUAUUAGCCUGAGAUUUCCAGCUAAGUCAAAAAUCAAUGAAUUGAUGGUCAUAACUACGUUGACAUUACUAAGUGUCUUAAACUAAAAGCUUUGACAUAUUGACUGUAUCAACAUGUUGGUUCAAUUGACCUGUAAGUGAAGUCGAGAUCAAGAACGAUCGGGAGGAGUCUCAGAAACAUAUACACAAGAUUAUGACCACUCUCUCUUCCAAACAUGUUUAGAAUCUUGAAAAAGCACAUAGCAACCCUUUGACAUGACGUCGAAGUUGGCACUUUUAAGUGUUAAAGAGUGAAUAUUUUCAAGUCCAAAGACCGUGAUCUGGAGAUAUCUUAGCCUUCCACAAGGGCGAAUAAAGCAUUCAAAAAUGGUUAUGAACAAAGUUAUCACCCUAUUUGAUUUUGGUUUUCAGCAGUUUCUCUUUGAAGACGCGUGGAAGCAAGUUAGAGCAAAACAACCCCACAUAGUAGGACACACGUUGAACAUAUAACCAACAACUGUUAUUGACGGUUAUUUUAGGACUAAUAUAUAAUGCAAGCUUAUGCAUUGUAGUUGAGGUCACAAAUUUUUCAUUCAUUCUCUAUAGAACUAGAGUAUCCAAGUCAUCAGGUGAAAUAGUUUGUGAUGAAUGUGAGUCUGGAUCCACUCUUUAAAUUUGCUGAAAAUCUUUUGUAUUCCAAGCAUUUACAAUUAAUGUCAUUUACUUCGUUUAAUUUGAUUAUUGCUUUUUAUCUUUAUCCAAAGUUUAUUGCUUGCAUCUAGUUGAUUUAUUACCCGAGCAUUUUAAAUCCAAAUCACACACUUUAUAUCGUAUAUUUUCUUUACACAAAUUAUCUUUGAUAUUUUUUGAGUUAAUCUUUUAAGUGAACUAAACUCUUGAUUGUUUACUAAAAAACACUAGUAAACACAAUCACACAAAAAUCUUUACCCUCCACUAAGGCAAUCACACGAUGCAUAUGACAUGUCAUGCAUGAUGAAAAAAUGACAAUAUAAUCUUAUUGAAGUCAAUUCGGGGGUCAACACGAGGGGACAUUUUUUACUUUUGCGACUUUUCUUUAUGAGCAACACACUUUUGUGAAAGACACACCGUAAACUCACCAAAAAUCGUAUGAUGAUAGGUGUGUGAGUUCUCUCACUUAUAAAUGCUGAAGUCUCCACAUUUAUAACCAAUGUGUGACUUCUCCAUAUUACUCACACUUAUUUAUUCUCAACAAUUCCCCUCAAAUGUGAGUCUAUCCACAAUGAUUCCCCUCAAGUAGAAACUUUUUUUUCAUCACACACACUUGUGCUGUCGUUGACACUCUUCAACGAGGCACUCUAUCCACGAUCAUGUGACGAUACUUUCGAUACAAGUGAGUCGACUCCUUCACUCAAACCAAAGUCUAAUGAUACCACUGUUAAGGUCAAUUCUGUUGAAACACGAGAGGUCAUUUUUUAUGUUUGAGAUUUUUUUUUACUAGCAUAAGACCCCUUGUGAAAGACACAUCACAUACUCAUCAAAAACCUUAAGAUGAUAGAUAUGUGGAUUCUUCUACUUAUAAAUACUAAAAUCUCCACAUUUCUAAUUAAUAUAAGAUUUCUCAUGCGUCUCACACUUUUGAUUGUCAACCACUCCCACCGCUUAAACAUUCAAAAAGUAGAAAUAAUAAUUAUCAUUUCACCACCCAAGAACUUAUAAGUUAUAAUUACAUUAUAAAAUCAUACUAAUAAUAGGACUCUAAUGUUCCUCUCUUUUUCUUCGGUUUGCAUACAUCGCCUAGACACACAUAUAAAAUGCUCAGUAUACAAUAUAUACAUAUAUAAUUUCCUCUUACACCAUAUUGGUAUAUACUUGACCUUCGAAUACAACGGUUCUGCUUAGACUAGCUUUAGGAUCUAAUUCCUAUAUGAUUGCAUAUAUUACCUACUCAAUGUGUACACCUAAACAAAUAAUAAACUAACAAUAUACAGUCUUUGGAAACUAAUACACCUCAUUACUCUUUUAUCCAUCCGAAUUAAUUGUAGCUUAUUCUGCACAAUGACUCUUAAAAUUGUUGAAAAUUCACGUGAUUUAUAUGAUACUUAAUAUAUAAAAAAAUUAUUUAACCAAUAGCGUGAAAAAUACAAAGGAGAACAAUAAAAUAUAUACAUCAACCCAACUCCUAAAUCAAAUCUAACUUAAAUUUAAAGAUUAUACAAUCUUAUUACACGAAUAAAAAAUUUAAAGUGCGAAAUGAUGCCCAGAAUAAAGUGAAAGAGAUAUUAAUGUUGCAAAAUUAUCGGUGAAUAUAAAGUAGAAAUUUUCAAAAAAAUUCUAAAAUAAUCCAAAAUUUUAUUUUUUUUCUUCAAAAUAAUUCUGUUUUAAAAAAAAAUCUCAAACUACCAAACUUUUAGGAGGUGACGUUAACCCAAUUGGUGACUCCUCUUAAAAAUAGAGUGCAUGCGCCAAUUGAGUUGGCUAGGGCACAUGGUGCAACCAAUUCAAUUGGUACCCAUGUGUAAUUUUUCAAAGAAGACGCCAAUUGGAUUGACACUCAGUGUAUUUUGUAUUUUUUUGGAUUAUAAAUAGAGGUGUUGUAUGAAUCAUUCUUCCACAUCUCAUUUCAUCAUUUGUCAAUCAUGUUUGAUGUUCAUCGUCGCUAGGGAAAGAUGAUUUAUGCGAGAGACAAACCUCAGAUGUUGAUGCUCGUCUGGAAUAUCACUACGUUCGAUCAACUGAAGAGGGAGUUGGUUCGUUGGUUAGAUGGGAAAUACCAUAAGGAAAAAAAAUUAGAAGUAUUGAGAGACUCGACAGUAUCUUUGGUUGGGUGCGAAUGAAAACUGAUAAGGAUGUUAGGGAAAUGAUGUUCGGACGAGAUGACAUCACUUUGAUUGUUGUAAUCAGUUAGAAAUAUUUUGUUUUCAGUUUGCUUAUGUUGUAGUUACAUCACUUAUGUUUUCAGUUAAAAAUAUUCUGUAAUCAGUAACAAAAACUUAAUGAUAUAUAAGAAUUGAAGGUUACAAAAAUCCAAUGUUACAAAAAGAUUAUGACCCAGAUGAUGCUCCUCGAUUGGGACAGUUGUUCUUAUUGUGUCCAGGUUGAAGACAAAUACUACAUAGUCUUAUCAUUUUAUCUAUCGUAUCCAUUUCUGUCCUGAUGCAUGUGUUGUUUGGCCGUCCUUUUUUCUUUCUACGCAUCUCGUCGUUGUGUCAAACUAUGUCACCCUCGUAUGGAGGUAAAUAUUCCUCCAUUGGUAGCACCGAGAAGCUAUUAUUAUAGACAUUCAUGAUGGUGAUGACCUUGUACACAUCAGAUAAAUGGUUGUAAGCGUCCUGACGAGUAUGUGUGCAUGCUGCAAUGACAUGGGAGCAAGGAAUGCGGAAGACUUGAAAUUUUCCAUAACCGCACCAACUUCUAUUUAGUUUGACAGCAUAGGUUAAAUUUGGUCUCCCCUCGUUGUGGUCCAUUGUUUCCUAAACGCUGAAAUUUUGUCUAUGACGGUCAAAGACUGUUACAACGUGUGUGCUAGCUUUGAUGUUUUCCUCUUUCAUGACUUUCAUGCAACACUCACUGAAUACUUUCCUAGACAUUAACACCGCACUCCAUCUUUCACCUCUGGUUGCGAAUGUAGAAGUCAAUCUAUAAUAGGUUGAUUUGACCAAGGCGGUUAUUGACAGAUUUCUAAUGCCUUUGAAUACGCUGUUCAUGCAUUCCACAAGGUUUGUUGUCAUGUGGCCCCAUCGACAGUCUCCGUCAAAUGCAUUUGUCCACUGCUCUACUAGUAUGUUAUUCAGUCAUCUUCCCGCAUCUUCAUUAGACAAUCUAAUCCCAUCACGGUAAUAUUGAAAUGACGAUUGUGUUAGCGCAUACCCAACAUUCACCACCAUUUUGCGAAGAUUCUUAUCUUUUAUUGCACGCAUGAAGUUUUGUGCAAUAUGUCUAAUGUAAUAGACACGGGUAGAAGGAUAAUCAUGUCAUCCGUUGUCAUGGUUAUUAUAGGCACUCUCAAUGACAGCAUGUCUAUCAGAAAUCAAACAUAGAUUGGCUUGUGGAGCCACAUACGUUCUGAGAUGUCGAAGAAAGAAACCCCAACCACCAACAAUUUCACCUUCAACCAGAGCAAAGGCAAUGAGAAAUACAUUGUUGUUGGCGUCUUGUGCAACCGUCAUAAGCAAAGUACCCUCGUAUUUGCUGUAUAAUCAUGUUCCAUCAAUUUGAAUAAUAGAUUUGUAGAAUGCUAAUCCAAUUGACGUCUCCUUUGAAAAAUUACACAUGGGCGGCAAUUGAAUUGGCUGCACCAUGUGCCCUAGCCAAUCCAAUUGGCGCAUGCACUCUAAAUUUAAGAGGAGACACCAAUUGGAUUGACGUCUCUUCCUAAAAAUAGGGUAAUUUGAGAUUUUUUUUGAAAAUAGAGUUAUUUUGAGAUUUAUUUUGAAAAACUGAGUUAUUUUUAUAAAAAAAUCUAUAAAAUAUUUUCGUGAGAUUGUUUUUGUUCAGAAAUAAUUUACCCUCCUGUGAACUAAAGAAAGGUAUGAAUCCUCUUUUUCACGUGAGUUAGGUUGAUUACUAUGUAAAUUAAAUUAAAAGAUGUAAGAGUUGAGUGAAUAGAGGAGAAAAUAGUGGAACAAAAUGUGAGAAUUGGUUUUCUUCUCUCAAAAGCCCACGUACUGAUUUCUUUUUCAUAGACCCUUACUACCAAUGGCUCUCAUAAUUACUACAACAACUACACACAAGUUACUUUUCCUUCUUAUAUUUAAUUUGUUUAAUUGUUUCUUUGAUUUUAUUUAUUUUACACCAAUAACUCACUACUAGUAUAUUAUAUAUUACCACUAUUACUACAAUUAUUAUUAUUAUUAUUAUUAUUAUUAUUAUUAUUAUUAUUACUAUUAUUAUUAUUAUUAUUAUUAUUAUUAUUAACCCACUCUUAUAAUAAAUAUUAAUAAUAAACUAGUUUCUCAAUUAAAUAAAAAAAUUAAACAUAUUAUAAUUUUUGAAUCUAAGACCAGACAAUUAGAAGAUUCUCAUUUCAAAACCACAAAAUAAAUCAAUAAAAAUAAAUUGUUUAAUCAUUUGAUAUUAAAAAAAUAACUAAAGAUUCUUAACAAAGCAAUAAUAAAAAAACUUAGGGGUGUUAUAAUGGUGUUGAAUAGAGUUUUUUUAGGACGAUUCCGAGAAAUAUCAUAGUCGAAAUGUUUUUGAUUUGAUGGUCUUACUUGUGAAGAGUCAAUGUUUGGUGAUGGUGAGAACUUUUCUUAGUAGCUUUGGAGGCUUUAUGCAUCAAGACCCAUUUUUUUGUCUUCAAUUUACAUCUAGUUAGGUUGUGUUUUCCUAUUUUGAUUGAAUUCUCAAUUGACUCGUCCAUCUCUAAAUUAAAUCCAACGAGCAUUAGAAUCUUCAUAAUCCGAUAACCAUCGGUGACCAUGCACUUCCCUUCCUUCGUAUUUUGAUCAUGUGGUAGAUUACCCCACUAGACUAUUUUGUUUUAUCUUUAUUGGUUAGUAGCAAUAUCAUUACCACGUUGAUUUUUGACACUUGCCCAAGAUUGAGUUUCCUUGGGAUGAGAAUAUUGGCUGUGACAUAGUGGAUAAGACAACAUUAGGAGUCACAUUUUUCACAAAUGAGUUGAAAUUUGUGACCGAAGGUUGUAACAAUCAUAAAUGAUUUAGAAGUAUAGAGAUAAUCAAAAUCAUGAAUUGAUUUGGGAAUCUCAUAAGAGUAUACCGAGUUGGAGCAGGGUAUAUAACAAAUAAUAAUAUUUUUUCCAAAGAAAGAGAAAUUUCAUGCUUAUAUCUUCUGUCUUAAUAACCUCUUCUUCAUAGUUGAUAUGAGUGGGAAACAUCUACACCAGCUUUGGGAACAUCUCUUAUGAUUUAUUGUAGAAGAGAUUCUUGAGAUCACCUUGGACGAAGACGUUGAAAAACUCAAACUUUCCAUAAACACUCUCAUUCAUAUAAUAUGUUGGGAUGAGAUGUUUGUCAGCAAAAUGUUGAUAGAGCUUUUUCUCUUGUUAUAAGGACGAAAAAUCAUCGCACAUUUAGAUUGGAGCAAAUGAACUUGCGGAGGUGCAUAGUCUUUUUGGUGCCGUUAGUGAUGAUGAUAAUAACAAGAGUAACACAAGAAGGAAAUAAAGUAAAAAAUGAUAUCAAUAAGAGAGUAUGACAUGGAUGCAAAGAAAAAAAACACGAUUACUUAUUUAUAAUUUUGUUUUAAUCGAUUAAAAUGAUUUUAGCUAAUUGAUGCAAUGAUAACAAUCAAUUUGAUUGAUUGAUGGAGGUGGUGUGCAUCUUUUAAAGAUUUAAUCAAUUAAAAUUAUAUGUUUAAUCGAUUAAAAGGCGCAAAAUUUGAAUUUCUAAACGCCUAAUUGAUUAACCCUUUAAGUUUAAUCGAUUAAUAGGUGAGUUUUCAGCUUCAUUGGUCUGCUUGGUCUUUAAAUGGCUUAGGGCCUGAGUUAUGCUUUUAUCACCUCCUCCUUUUAGUUUUCAUACCCCUUUUUUUGCUAAACACUUUAUUUUUCAAUAAAUAGGUUAGUAGGAAAAUAAACAAAAUGAUUAUGCAAUAAUUUAGUAUUUGUUAGAGGAAUAACUGAAGUUUAACAACCUAAUCCGGACGAUACGAAAGCCGACAGACGAAAUUGAGAAAACUUAUAACUAGGCAAAAGUAAUGACUCAUCGAAUAAAAAUCUGGACUAUGCGAAAGGCGACAAAUUAUUCGUCGAUGAUAUGGGCGAUGCGCUGAGAAAGCAGGUAGUGCCCAAUUUUAUCUAUUUUCUAUCAUUUAUGCAAAAAUCUCGCAAUAGAUGUGAAAAUGAUCAUAUGAUUGUGUUAGAAACAUGAACUGUAACCCAGAGUCUUGUUUUCCCUAAUUUGGUACUUAAGUGAUUUUUUCUGCUAUUUCUAUUUAAUUACUUUUUCAUUCAAGUUAUUUACUAAAGAAUCUCCCUUUGAUUUCUCUAGAUACACACCGGUUGGAUAAGGAUUCAAUACUUAAACCAUUGGUCCUUAUGGUUUGAUAUCUAUUUUAUUACUUCACGAUAGCCGUGCACUUGCGUAUGCAUUAAGUUUUUGGCGCCUUUAUCGGGGACUAAUUGCAUUUGAUAUAGAAUUUCUAUUUGAUCAUCGUAUAGACUUGAGUUUAUUUUUCUGCUUUUUUUUGUUGUGUUUGUUUGUCGUGGUUCUCGCUGCCUUUGUAUGCGAGGAACUCGUUUUGAUUAUUCUAAUCUACUAUCGUAGAGAUUAUGACAACUUUUUCUUUUAUGUUGUUUCUUUUGUGGUAUGCACGAGGUCUGUCUAAAAUAUGUUCAAUUAUGUGAACAAUAACCCUAAAGACUUUUAUCCCAAUACCUAUAAUCCAGGGUGGAUGGCUCACCAAAAUAUUUACUAUGAUAACCAAUCCCAUUAUUUUGAGGAACCACAAAAUUUACAGCAAUCCAACCUUGAAAUGUUAAUGGAGAAUUUUAUUGAGACACAAACUCACUCUAACCUGGAAUCUAUGAUGGAGAGUUUUGCAAUAACACAAAGUCUCCUGAAUGAAAAGUUUAGAAAUCAAACCUCCUCACCAAUGAGGCAAUUAGGUAGUUGAACACUAAGAUUGACAACGUUAUCACCCAUACCAAAAUGUUGGAGACUCAAAUCUCCCAAGUAGUAUAAUAAUAAGCUGAUUCUUUUGUCCAUCCCGAAAUAUUUAUGGGGCAACCUGAGCAAAACCCCAUGGGACGUGAAUGUUGUAACAACCAAAAGUGAAAAACAAGUUGAAAUUCAUAGGGAUAAUGAUAAAAAGGUUGAUAGGAGUUCUAGUGAGAAAAAUGUAGAGAGUGAGAAAAACCUAUCGACACCAUCCGAAAAGGAAGUAGUCAAAGAGGUAGAGAAGGAAACGCAUUAUGUUGCUCCUACUCCCUACAAGCCACCAAAUCCUUUUCCGUAUAUAUUUUUGGAAGCUAAGGUAGGUACCCAAUCCAAUAGGUAUGUGGAGAUAGUGGAAAAGAUCCUUACCAAUGCACCAUUAACCGAGGUCCUGUCUAAAUAUAGAAUAUUAGAGGACCAUGAAAUUGGAAAAAUUAUUAAUGUUAAGAUGGGAAUGUUCAACUUUGAGCUGGGGAAUAAAAGGAUUAAAUUAAAACCCGAAAAGUUGAUACUUAGGAUAGAACCUGAACCGCCCUCACAUGUUCAAAAGUAUGAAUCACCCCAUAGAAAGAAGAAUAAUAAAAAUAGUGGAUAUGAGAGAUGACUUGAUAAAUGGGCAUGGACAGAUAAUACUAUGGAGAGUGAGGUUGAGGAAUCAUUUUUGAAAGAGCCACCAUGAGUUCUUGCACUCAUCGCCGGUCAAGCUCAACGAUCUUAAACAAAGCGCUUCGUGGGAGGCAACCCACGUUUUUUCGCACUAAUUUGUUUCCUUUUCUUUGUUUCUUUUUAGUAAAUUAAAAGCUCAUAUAAUGAAGCCGUAUAAUUUCUAAAUUGGUGAAAAAAAUUGAGAAAAACUAAUCGAGGAAUUGCCCGGAAGAAAAUCCCAAAAGCCUAAGAAACCACAAAAAUUCCAUAGAAAGCCAGUUGCAUGUUACGGGCACAUGUAUCCAUUUCUAAGAGUCGUAGCAGGCCCACCAUCCAAACCCUAAAUCCAACCCACAUUAACCUUGGGAAGCAUCGCCCUACUACGGGCAUCCGUAACACGCGCUACGGGCUGUAUCAGGGCAUGCAGAGGGAGAUUCAAAUUUUCAAAUCUUUUCCAAUUUCAAAUCUCCUUGGGACCCCACACACACCUCUUAAUACACCAAUCAUCAUACAUUUAAUUCCUUUUAAAUACCCCAAAUCUGAACUUUAACCCGUCAUUACCUCACCUUUUCUCUUUCCAAAUCUCUCAUUCAUCUUCAUUAUUCUCCCAAAUUUUUAUCCAAACCUCCAUUACAAAGCUUCCACCUUUAGCCUUUUAUUAACCAUAACCAUCAUACCAUCUUUGCAAAACCUUACCCAUUAACCAUCCCAAGCAUACUUCCGGGAACAAAUAAAGAAAACUCAUCACUCCAAAUUUUCUCAAAAAGUUUCAUUCAUCAAUGGCACCGAAAAGAGCCGAUAAAGGAAAGCUAGUGGUAGAGUCCUCAAGACCUUGAAAUAGGGGAAACACUCUUUUGUUAAAUCCUUAUAAUAUUAUCUUCGAGGAUUACUCACAAGCACAAAUGUACUCAACGCUCAUCAAGCGGAGGAUCACUCCGUCGAUGUAUGUUUAUGAAACCACCCUUACUACUUUUGGUUUGAAAGUGGAACUAGAUAAGAUGUUCCAUUCGACAUGGUUGCUAGAAUUCAUGCAAAAAUAAUCCCCUACAUUUGAGAAAAUUACUCUUAAGUUCCUUAGUGCCUUAUAUUUCAAGUUGCAAAUGAAGUAUAUAGAUGGAAUGAGGUACUAUUACGGUACUCUCAAAUUCUGGUUGUUUAAUCAAAAUCAUGAGCUUAAUGUAGAAGAAUUAAGGCACAUCCUCCAAUUUCCCAUCCAUGGACCGAGUGAUGUGCCAAAAGAGUUUGAUGCUACUAGCUUUUGGUGUGCUAUUUUCGGUGAUUCCUACUACACCGUCACAUGGCCAAUGUAUCCCUAAUUCAAAACCCAUGCUUUCGAUACGCGCAAAAGGCAUUUACCCACACCUUAUUCAGAAGGGGUGAUAAUAUCGAAGUUGCUACUCAAAUAAAGUUAUUUUUUAUGCAUUACAUGACAAAUAAUGGAGUUGUUAAUGCCAUCGCCUUUGCGGCGAAUCAUUUGGGCAAGGUAUCUCAUACGGCUACUGGAGACAUUUUGGUAGGGGGUAUGAUUACCCAAAUCGCUGAAUACCUUGGUUUUGAAUUUAACUUGAUCGAGGAUGUUGUUGUUGAAGGAAAUAAUAAGAUUUACAUGGAAUCCCUUGUUCACCAAGGAAUGAUUUAUAUAUAUGUGAACACUUUUACGAUGAUGGUAAGAAACAACUUCGUUCUUGACUUGCCCAAUCCAAAGAAGGAAAGAAUUGACAUUUUGAGUAAUUGGAUUUAUCAAGCGGGGGCACCCUCUCCGGAUACCACAUUCGAGAGUGAGAUUGAACCCAAAAAUUCUAACCAUCAUGUAGGUACUGCUAUGGAGGAGGAUGUUGUCCCUUCACCUUCACGUUCCACCUAACACGAAGCAGACACUUUGAAUUCUUAUUACAAUAGGUGGGAUUGGGUUCAAUCGGAGAUCCAAGGGAUGAGAAUGGAGAAAAAUAGGCAAUGAGUGGUCUUGGAUGAUGUCUAAGUUAUGACGCAACAACUUAUGUUGCGGUUCCUUCCUCCAGAAUAAGUUAUUGUGAGUUCUGCUCCCUCUUUCUUGAGCUUAAACAUUGAGGAUAAUGUUUGGUUCAAGUUUUUUUUUUGGGUAUCUAUUUGUUUUUAUGUCAUUUUUAUUUCUUAAAAUUGUAUGCUUUUGUUUCUUCCUAGUUUUUAAUAAUUUUCUAGUUUGAUUGAUGCAUUAAGACCAUAUUCUCAUACUAUUUCUUGAUACUAAGACUAUGCCAUAUUUUUAUGACAAGCUUGGGUUGUAGGGAAGAUGAGAAAGUAUAUAGAGUUUGAGGAAAGAAAGGCUAUGACUACGGACAUUGGGAAAUAUUGAAAACUUAGGUAUGACCCAAACACCCUAAGUCCCCCGAUGUAAGGAUGCGAGUCCAAUAUGUAGAUAGUACUCGACUCUGAGAAGUAUUUCCUAAUUAGUUUAUAUUGACGGUCUGACAUAAUUAAAAGACUUGCAUGUAUGUAUAAUUGGUUGAGAAAUAGAUAAUUUGGGCACCAAAAUGAUGAAAAGUCAAUAAAGAUAACUAGACCUUCUAAGUUGGGCAACUCUUACCCGAUUAUUUAGCCUAACGACGAUUGAUUAUAAAAUGUCGUGUCCCAAAGUGGACCAAUAUACACCAAAGUGCGUAAAAUCAUCGAAAAAUAAAAAAAUAAAUAAAAAGGUGUCUAGAAAAAAAAUCUCGAUUGAUCUUGUGCAUGUGAGGUAAUAAAUAAUUGCAAAUGCUUUAAUAUGAUUGUCUGAAUGAAAGGGGAAGAAAUUCAAAAAAGAUACUUAAGCCCAAAGCAAAGUUGGAGUGAUGUCUGAAAGGGAGACUUAGGUUCGUGGUUUUACCGCAAUUAGUGUUCUUGAAUUACCUUCCUUAACGAAUGAUUACCAAGAGAACUAGACCUAGCCGAUCAGAACAAAGACUGACGUAUGAGUACCAUUGAUCAUGUUUCUGUAUGCUUUAUCAUGAUAUGAUCGCUUGAUUCGAAAACUCAUGAAUGUAAGCUUUAUUGCUUUAGGGCAAACAAUAAUCUAAGUUUGAGGGAGUUUGAUAAGUGGUAUUUGCAUAAUUAUUUCUAGUAGUUUCCUUUAGUAAUUUACUGCAUUUUAUUCUAUUUCCUUUCAUUUGUCAUGUUUUAUGCGUUGGUUCAUGUUUUAUUAUGAAUUUCAGGGUCUAAUGAGCAUCUAAGCAAAGAGGGACCAAAGGCAAGAGAAACAAA